UACGGGGGGGGUAAGCGUUGUUCGGAAUUACUGGGCGUAAAGGGCUCGUAGGCGGCCAACUAAGUCAGACGUGAAAUCCCUCAGCUUAACUGGGGAACUGCGUCUGAUACUGGAUGGCUUGGAUUUGGGAGAGGGAUGCGGAAUUCCAGGUGUAGCGGUGAAAUGCGUAGAUAUCUGGAAGAACACCAAAGGCGAAGGCAGCAUUCUGGCUCGGACCUGACGCUCAUGUGCGAAAGCUAGGGGAGCGAACGGG
rnacentral:rRNA from 1 species